UAGGGAAUCUUCGGCAAUGGACGAAAGUCUGACCGAGCAACGCCGCGUGAGUGAAGAAGGUUUUCGGAUCGUAAAACUCUGUUGUUAGAGAAGAACAAGGACGUUAGUAACUGAACGUCCCCUGACGGUAUCUAACCAGAAAGCCACGGCUAACUACGUGCCAGCAGCCGCGGUAAUACGUAGGUGGCAAGCGUUGUCCGGAUUUAUUGGGCGUAAAGCGAGCGCAGGCGGUUUCUUAAGUCUGCUGUGAAAGCCCCCGGCUCAACCGGGGAGGGUCAUUGGAAACUGGGAGACUUGAGGGCAGAAGAGGAGAGUGGAAUUCCAUAUGUAGCGGUGAAAUGCGUAGAUAUAUGGAGGAACACCAGUGGCGAAGGCGGCUCUCUGGUCUGUAACUGACGCUGAGGAUCGAAAGCGGGGGGAGCAAACAGG
rnacentral:rRNA from 1 species